CUACGGGGGGCACCAGUGGGGAAUAUUGCACAAUGGAGGAAACUCUGAUGCAGCAACGCCGCGUGGAGGAUGACACUUUUCGGAGCGUAAACUCCUUUUAUAUAGGAAGAAGAUGACGGUACUAUAUGAAUAAGCGCCGGCUAACUCCGUGCCAGCAGCCGCGGUAAUACGGAGGGCGCAAGCGUUACUCGGAAUCACUGGGCGUAAAGAGCGUGUAGGCGGAUUAAAAAGUCAGAAGUGAAAUCCUAUAGCUUAACUAUAGAACUGCUUCUGAAACUCUUAAUCUAGAAUAUGGGCGAGGUAGAUGGAAUUUCUGGUGUAGGGGUAAAAUCCGUAGAGAUCAGAAGGAAUACCGAUUGCGAAGGCGAUCUACUAGAGCAUUAUUGACGCUGCGACGCGAAAGCGUGGGGAGCAAACAGGAUUAGAUACCCCUGUAGUC
rnacentral:rRNA from 1 species